UCCGGGCGGACGCCGAGUCCUGCCGCCGUUCCGGAUGUCUGGUCGACAGGAGUGGAUCGGCAGGAGUGGAGGACCCGAGCAGUACGGGACGGCAGCGUGUUCAUGCGUGAACCGUCUCUUGGGGUGAAGCCGCUGACGCGGCCGGGCAUCUUCGCCUGUCCGAACCCGACAGGUCAUCCUUCACAGGCGGCUGACGAAGGGUUG
rnacentral:sRNA from 2 species